rnacentral:rRNA from 1 species
GACAGAGGUGCCAAGCGUUAGGCGGAAUCACUGGGCUUAAAGCGUGUGUAGGCGGGUCGUUAAGUACCUUGUGAAAUCCCACGGCUCAACCGUGGAACUGCUCGGUAUACUGGCGAUCUUGGGCCACUUAGGGGCUAGCGGAACAAACGGUGGAGCGGUGAAAUGCGUAGAUAUCGGGAGGAACACCGGUGGCGAAGGCGGUUCUCUGGGCCUUACCUGACACUGAGGAGCGAAAGCGUGGGGAGCGAACAGG